GACAGAGGUUGCAAACGUUGUUCGGAAUUACUGGGCGUAAAGGGCGCGUAGGCGGUUCGCUAAGUUGAAUGUGAAAACUCUGGGCUUAACCCAGAGCCUGCAUUCAAUACUGGCGGGCUAGAGUUCUGGAGGGGAUAGCGGAAUUCCUGGUGUAGCGGUGAAAUGCGUAGAUAUCAGGAGGAACACCGGUGGCGAAGGCGGCUAUCUGGACAGAGUCUGACGCUGAGGCGCGAAAGCUAGGGGAGCAAACAGG
rnacentral:rRNA from 1 species